GACGAACGCUGGCGGCGCGCCUAACACAUGCAAGUCGAACGAGGUCUUUUAGAAGCUUGCUUCUGGCUGACCUAGUGGCGGACGGGUGAGUAACACGUGAGCAACCUGCCUUGAAGAGGGGGAUAACGUCUGGAAACGGACGCUAAUACCGCAUAAUAUAUUCUGGUGGCAUCAUCGGGAUAUCAAAGGAGCAAUCCGCUUUGAGAUGGGCUCGCGGCCGAUUAGGUAGUUGGUGGGGUAAUGGCCCACCAAGCCAACGAUCGGUAGCCGGACUGAGAGGUUGAUCGGCCACAUUGGGACUGAGACACGGCCCAGACUCCUACGGGAGGCAGCAGUGGGGGAUAUUGCACAAUGGGGGAAACCCUGAUGCAGCGACGCCGCGUGGGUGAAGACGGCCUUCGGGUUGUAAAGCCCUGUUGAGGGGGACGAUAAUGACGGUACCCCUUUAGAAAGCCACGGCUAACUACGUGCCAGCCGCCGCAGUAAAAC
rnacentral:rRNA from 1 species